rnacentral:rRNA from 1 species
UCCUUAGACGUUCUGGGCCGCACGCGCGCCACACUGACAAAGGCAACGAGCUACUCUUCACCGAAAGGUGUGGGUAAUCUUUUGAAACUUUGUCGUGCUGGGGAUAGAUCCUUGCAAUUUUUGAUCUUAAACGAGGAAUUCCUAGUAAGCGCAAGUCAUCAACUUGCGUUGAUUACGUCCCUGCCCUUUGUACACACCGCCCGUCGCUACUACCGAUUGAAUGGUUUAGUGAGAUCUCUGGAUUGACGCUGGCUAGGGGGCGACCCUUGGCCAGACUGCUCGAGAAACUGCUCAAACUUGAUCAUUUAGAGGAAGUAAAAGUCGUAACA